CUCUGGGCAUAUCCAUCUAGCACCCAAAAUGCACGCCCUCCCAUGUGUUCCCCUGAGGUGUCCAAACAACACCUUGGACAAAAACGAAUUCAUUCAGGACAAAACAGGAAACCCCUCCUUUGUCCCAAAGUAAUCUGACAUCUGGAAAGACCCGGGUAUUUGCAGCUGCAGCUUUCCAGUCAACAUUCAGUUAUGAAGAUCCCUUACUUUGUUUUUGCUGUUGUUGGAUCCUGGCUCUUGGCCACUCCAGGGCUUGCUGCAGAUGUGAACAGUGAAGCUGAAUGUAAGGAAGCAAAUGGGUUUUGCCGAGAAUUCUACUGUAUAACUGGUUCCACGAAAAUUGGCAAAUGUGGAAAAACAGUUUGCUGCAAAAGCAACAUUUCUUUGUGAAAUUUCAACAGCUGGGAGAAUUCCCCAGUUAUGUGUGGAACCAUCCUGCAAAAGGGAACACCUUGAUUGGUCUCUAAAGAACAUCAACAUCUUGCAUCAUCUUCAGAAGAUUAGCUCUUCCUCUGGGAAAAAAUGCCCAUUAUGUCUGAAUAAAGUCAUAAUGGUUUGCUAAACUAUUUGUAUGUGCUGCCAUGGAUGCUGUUAUGAAUAAUAUGAUUUUUCUCUUACUACAUUUAGUGCUCUCUUUCAGAGUCUGCCCAUCUGCCUCCAAUUUGCUAUAAAGGAUACUAUUCUACAUUUCCCAUAUAAAUUAUGUGUGUUGAAGCAUUUAUGUGUAUCCCUGUGCAAGGUUGGCUGGUGAUCUAUCAAAUAAAUAAAUUGAAUUGCA